AACGCACAUUGCGCCCCUUGGUAUUCCAUGGGGCAUGCCUGUUCGAGCGUCUUAUAACCCCUCAAGCGCUGCUUGGUGUUGGGCGUUGUCCGGUGGACUCGCCCCAAAGUUAUUGGCAGCCGGCAGUUGGUCGAGAGCGCAGCACAUUGCCCUCUUGCCGAUGCGCCGCGCGUCCAGGGAGAAGACUAGCAUUUGGCCUCGGAUCAGGUAGGGAUACCCGCUGAACUUAA
rnacentral:misc_RNA from 1 species